rnacentral:rRNA from 1 species
CAAUAGCGUAUAUUAAAGUUGUUGCGGUUAAAAAGCUCGUAGUUGGAUUUCUGUUGAGAACAGGCGGUCUACCUUAUGGGUAAGUAUCUGCAUUGGUCUCGGCAUCUUCUUGAAAAACGUUUACUGCGCUUGAUUGCGUGGAGCGGGGUUCAGGACUUUUACUUUUGAGGAAAUUAGAGUGUUCACGGCAGGCAUACGCCUUGAAUAUAUUAGCAUGGAAUAAUAAUAUAGGAUUUUGGUUCUAUUUUGUUGGUUUCUAGAGCUGAAAUAAUGAUUAAUAGGGACGAAUUGGGGGCGAUUCGUAUUAACGCGUCAGAGGUGAAAUUACUUGGAUUGCGUUACGACGAACUACUGCGAAAGCAUUUGCCAAGGAUGUUUUUCAUUGAUCAAGAAACGAAAGUAAAGGGGAGUCGAAGACGAUUAGAUACCGU